CCUACGGGUGGCAGCAGUGGGGAAUAUUGCACAAUGGGGGAAACCCUGAUGCAGCGACGCCGCGUGAGUGAAGACGUAUUUCGGUUUGUAAAGCUCUAUCAGCAGGGAAGAAAAUGACGGUACCUGAUUAAGAAGCCCCGGCUAACUACGUGCCAGCAGCCGCGGUACUACGUAGGGGGCCAGCGUUAGCCGGAUUUACUGGGGGUAAAGGGCGCGUAGACGGCAGCACAAGUCUGGAGUGAAAUGCCGGGGCUUAACCCCGGAACUGCUUUGGAAACUGUGCAGCUAGAGUGCAGGAGAGGUAAGUGGAAUUCCUAGUGUAGCGGUGAAAUGCGUAGAUAUUAGGAGGAACACCAGGGGCGAAGGCGGCUUACUGGACUGUAACUGACGUUGAGGCUCGAAAGCGUGGGGAGCAAACAGGAUUAGAUACCCCAGUAGUC
rnacentral:rRNA from 1 species